AUCCAGAAAUUGGCAGCCGUU
rnacentral:miRNA from 1 species